rnacentral:ncRNA from 1 species
GCUCAUCUCACGGGGUGCCCCAUCCGGGGCUGAGAGGAGCUUCUCCAACCCGACGAACCUGAUCCGGGUCAUGCCGGCGGAGGGAUAGAGCCAUGCAGACAUC